UAUCACUUUGACGUUUAAAAAUCCACCAGUUGCGUUUGUUCCUAAAGUUGUGAAAUUUUCCGAAAAAAAAUGUAAUUGGACGGUUUUGAAAGAAGACUUUUCUUCAGAAAUUAAUGAAAAAAAUUUAAGUAGAACAUAACCUCACUUCUUAAAUCGUCGAUUUUAAAUAUAUAAACAAUUAAUAUUUGAAAUUGGGGCGAUUUAUUACAACGUAAAGCUGUUGCCAACCCCAUCUAGCGGUGACUACCCAUAUUAAGUUGUCAUUUUGACGUUUAAAAACCACCAGUCGCGUUUCUUCCCUAACUUGUGAAAUUUUACAAAAAAAUGUUUAAUUGGAUGGUUAUAGGAAAAUAUUUUUGCUCCCGAAAUUAAUGAAAGAAAAUGUUGGUGGAAUAUAACCUCCCUUCUUUAAAUCAGGGGUUAAUAAAUUUAAUUUAAUUUGGUGUUAUGUUACAAUAUGGUAAAAGCUGAUCAAAACAGUUCUAAUCAAGUAAAAAUAUUCCACAGAUCAUAAUCAUCGAGAAAGAAUUAAAGAAAUCGAUUUAGAAGAUUUUUGAAUUUGUUACUAAGACACCACGAAACAGAAAAGGCUUAUUGUUACAGAAUGAAACACGAAAAAGAAUCAAGAAUGGAGUUGGUCAUCAACAAAGUAAAAUUGAUCGGCAAUAAUUUAUUACCGAUAUUAUUUAAAAGAUUGAUAAAAUCGAAAAUUUAAUUAGAAACGAAAUUAAAAGUAGAUAUUAAUGGAAUAUUUCGAAACGAUUGAGAAGAUGAAAAAUUGGUAAAAUUAAGAUGGUUUUGUAUAUGGUAUGUAUUUCUGAUCAUAGAUGGCAGUUAAAUUUUUACGUAAGAAUAAAAUUUUUUAGUAAA
rnacentral:lncRNA from 1 species